CGGGGCUGCGCGUGGAUGGAGUCGCGCGGCAGCGGCGGCGCUAGGGCCGGUGCUGGGGACUCGGCGCCGCUGGGACCAUGAUGCCCGGAGAGGCGCCGGCGGCGGGGAUCGCGGCGGAGGCCGCCACGGCCUGUGCGAACUGCAGCGCGCUCCAGCAGAAUUUAAAUGAAUAUGUAGCUGCAUUAAUUGCACUGAAGCAAAAAAUAAUUGACACAGACUGUUUGCUGACAGAAUAUCAACAGAAGUGUAACGAGCUUCAGGUGGCUGAAAGAGAGAAUAACACUCUUCGUCACCAAGUGGAACAGAUGCUACAAAAAAUCUCUCCUCUAGAAAAGUGUCAGCAAGAACUGGGGACUCUGAAAGCAGAAUUGGAAGAGAAAAAGAGUUCUCUCAAGAUUUAUCAGCAGACGCAUCUGGAAUAUGCUCGGGUGAAAGAAGAAAUUGCUAGAAGUGAUUCUGUGAAGAAGAAACUGGAAGCCAAAGUGAAGAAACUGGAAGAGGCUGCAACAAAGCAUAUGCAAGACUUCAGACAGUUGAAGACUGAAAAAAAAGUUCUUGAAAAGGAGCUAAAGAAGGCGCAGGGAAAACGUGAUGACUUUCCCAAAGAGAAAUGCAGAAAGGUGUUAAAACAUGCAGAGACACAGAGUGCAAGAGAAGAUCCAGUUGCAAACAUAGACAAAGGAAAAAUAAAGCUGCUAUUGGAGGAGCUUUGGAUGUGCAUUGACAGCACAACAGGAAAAACGCAGAACCAGGAACAUGAUUAUAUCUUGGGAUCUUCUGUUCAGGGUCACUCAAGGAUGCCAGAAAAAAGAGGCAGGUUAUUUACAGAAGAGGUUGCACAAACCCACCGAAAAUUCAAGAAAUCUGAUGACAAAAUGCUUCACCCUCAUUCUUCACCAGAAACCACUGAAAAACAAAGUUCCUUAACAACAUUGCAGAUAAAAGUAGACAAGGAGCCUUCUGGAGGUGAUCAAUUUGAGAGCAAGGCCACUGAAGAAGGCCUGCAGGACUAUAAUGGUGACAGUGCUUUUUAUGAGGACACAAAUAUAGAGGUGGUUGUACAGACAGACUUAACGGACAGUAGCUCAGAGUCCUCUGAUCAGGAACAAGAACAGCUUGGUGGAAACUUGCUUGAUAUAUUGAACUGGGCAAGGCCUCUCCCUCCUCUUCUAUCUCCUGUAUGUUUUUCACCAAUUGCUACACAGGAUAAUCUGUUUGGAGAAUCCACUGAUUCCAGUGAUGAAGAAAUUGAUCAUAAUGCUCACAUUGUGGAAAGUAUAUUAGAAGAAGGCAAAGCAGAGUCACAGAGUAACACUGCCUUUUUCAAUAUGAAAGAAAGCAAUGAAGAUGAGAAAUCACAUGAACCUCAUGAUAAAGAAAUCUCAGCUAAAUUGAGAGAGAAUGAAGAGAUGCCAAUUUAUAUAGACGCUUUCACAGCAAAAUUAAGACAUGUUAAGGAGAAGGAUGCCGAAGCAAAGCAAACUGAGAUGACUGUUUCAAGUAUGAACACGUUUGCCAAUGAAGAACAUUUGGAAGAGGAUUCUGAUAAUAUAGGACCUACAGAGACAGACAUAACACUGAAGGUAGCAACACCUAAACUGGAAGCUAUCAGUGAGAAGGAAGUUCAUACUGACGAAAUACAAAUUGAAGAUAAAACCUCUUCAGCUGUGUCAUCUAACUUCCAAUACUUGCAAGAAAAAUCUAAUGAACUAAUACAAACAGAGAAGACUGUAGUUAUAAAUUUAAAUACUACAUCCAAUUCUGAACAUAUGAAAGAAAGGUAUAGUGAAUUAAUGGAAGCAGAGGAAGCUGAAUUAUCAGGAAAAGUAGAAACACCAAAACCAGCAUCCACUCUCAGAGGUGAUGUUCACUUGCAAACUGGGGAACCCAUCUUUGCAACUGAAAGUGUGUUGGUAACCCCUGAGAAUUUUGAGGAAAAGCCUAGCGAAGUGAUGGGGAAUGAAGAAAUGGAAAAUGAAUCCAUGGACAUACAAACAAAAUCUAAUGUAAUAAAUACAAUACCCUGCAUAGAAGAGCACACUGAAAAAGUAACCACAGAGGAGAGAAUAAUGGCUACAAUAACCGUAAAAGGAUUCUGUGUAGAGACAAGUAAUGAACCAAAUGAUAAUGAAGAGGAAGAUGUGAGAUCUAGUUUCAGAAAUUCUAAAUGCUUUUCUGGAGCAGAGCAUGGUUGUGAAUUGAUGUGUCACUGUAAUGGUGAGAGAACACUCCUGCAAACUGAAAUAGACACUGAAGCUAAAGAUAUCUCCACUAAAUCACAAUGCUCUGAAGAAAAAAUCAGCAAUGAAGAAAUACUGGAUAAAGAGUUUGAGCAUACAAAACAACAUGGAGUAAAUGAAGAGGGUGGACUAGAAAACAAUAAUGCUUUUAGACAUGACUCAUUUAUACUUGCCACUGAAAGAAGCAGAGAUUCAUUAUAUAUGGAUGGGGAAGACCAUAUUGCAGAGGCAUGCAGAAGUGUUCGCUCAGUAUCUGCAGAAGAUGGAGAUGGGGAACAGCUCAGAACUGGAAAGCAGAGUGUUGAGGUCAAUAUAACUCAGCCUGAACAAAAUGUUUUCACUGAUAGUUCAGUAAACAAGGAAGAUUUUCUAGAAACAUAUAAAUUUGCUAAAUCGCUCCAUGUUAUGGAAGUUGGAGAACUACAAGAUGCAAAGAAGGAAAGGUGUCUACAACCUAAACUAGACCAUGAACAAAAAGAUGCUAAUAACAUAUUGCAAAAGAAACCAGAUUUUGAAACUACACUUAUGUCACAAAACUCAGCAUCUGGUAUAAAUGGAGAAAGUGAUCCACUAGAACCCGAAGAAAUAGUUCAAACUAAUCAUGUAUUACUUGCAUCAGAGUGUGUCACAGAAAGAGCUAGUGAAAUGAGGCAGGCCAAAAAUACAUACAUUGCAUCGGAACAGAAGUCUUCCAAAUUUCAAAAUUUUGUAAAAGUAUUUCAACCUCAGGAGAUUGAAAUGGAAAUGGAACACUCGGAAGUUGGAGAGAGAAGCGGUGGGUCAUUAGAAACUGAGAAAAUAGAUACUGUGAACUCUGUCAUAAAAGAAAGUGAACACCUUUCUUGGGCACAGUUUCUGAAACCUCUAGAUUCAUGUUCAGUAACUGAAAAUUCUCAGUGUGAGGAAAUAAAAGAGAAAUUAAAUGACAAACCGUGUGAGAGCCUGGUGAUUCAGAACUGUAACAGUUCACCUGGUUUGGAAGAGAAUAGUGUGGAGGAAGUGGAGGUGAGAAACCAAAUUUCAGAUGUCUCAGAUCAGGUUUUCUCAGAAAAGGAUUCUGUUGGAAAACCAGCUUUACCCAUAGAAGAUGUCUUGCAGACUGGAAGUAUAGAUACUAAAAAAAUAAACUCACCUGUCACAGCGACAAUUGGUUUGGAGAGCACAGCAGUGUUAGUUGAUUUUACUGCUUUCAACUUUCAGAUGUGUGGUGAACCUUUCAAACAGAACUGCCAAGCGUUUGACACUAAUAAUAAAGAAGAGUCUAUUACAGUGCUUAGUACUGCUUCAUCCCUAACUAGAAGAAAUGAAAAAUACAAUGAUCAUGUUAUUCAAAGUAUGCCUAAUUCUGUCAGAAAUUUGGUGAAGGGCAAGACAAUACAGAAUGAUAAAGAAAAAGUCAAGCCACUUGAUUGUCCCAGUAAUAAAUAUGACAAUAAAAAUAGAGCAGAAAUUGAAAAUGAACAGGAGCAGUCCAAUGCCAUAGAACCACAAAAAACAUUGAUAAAUGUACAGCUUUUUGGUACAAGUUCUGUUGACAGUGGUACACAUGUGGAAAAGGAAGCUAGUCUGGUUUUUGAAGAAGCGGAAUGUGAAACAUGUAGCUCGAAGGAAAUUAGCACAGCUCUUUCUGUAAUAAAAGAAACUUCACCUCAGAGAGUGGAGCCUCUUUGCUCUUCUGAAGGUCAGGUCAGACCUAUAGAAUAUAGGCUCGAUGAAACAAUGAAGAACAAUGAGAAAGAAUUGAACAUUGUUAAGCUGUCUGGAGAGACAAAUGGGAAUACAUCUUCUAAAAGUACUGAGGUUCCAGAGGAGACAGAUGACUCUGAAGAGGAAGAGUUUCCUUUCAGAAAGGUCAAGUAUACAAAAGAGAAUGAACGUUUUUUAGUGUCCAGUGAAAAACUAAGAACUUUCUGGACUUAUACAAUGGAUGUGCCAGAAAUUCACACAGCUGUUGAUGGAAAUAAUGACAAAAUGUGUGAACUCCCUCCUUCAGCGUACUCAGAUGCACUAGCAGAUAUUGCUAUGCCUUGUAUAACUCACCACUCUCCAAGUAUUGUGAAGGAGCAGUCAUAUUUAACAGAAAAGGUUUAUCCUAAAGGCAAACUUUUCUCAGCACAUGGAAUUGUAUUCCACAAUAAUGAAAAUAAUGAGAGCACUUCUGAACAUAGAGAAAAUUCCAAAACAAGUGGGUCAGCAUCUGACAAUGAGAAUAGCUUGAUAAAAUUAAAAGAAUUGUCUACAUCUGCAGAGGCAUCAGAAAAGAUCCCCACAAAACGAACUACUUCAGAAAUUAAUUUAUCGUACCAUAUGUUAGCCAAGUGCUCAGAAAUCUACAAACAUGUUAUAAAAAAUAGUAAAUUAGACACAAGUCUGCCUGUCAAUUUUUUACAAGUAAAUGGUAAUGAAAAACUUGUAUCAAAUAUGGAACAAAGUGUGUCAUGUGAUGCUGGCAUAGAAGGGUCUAAAGCACAUACAGUGUUUUGUGAAGAAUUAAAUGAUAAACAAAAGAAAACUUGUGUUGCUUUUGCCUCAGCAGAUAUCAACACAAAUAUUGUUCAAGAUGGCAGUAAGUCUUGUUUCGAUGACAGUUACAGUGAUAUUUUUCUUAACGAGACACAUUUUCAAAGAAAAGGUAGAAAGUUUUUGACAGAAUUCUAUCAGCAUCCAACUGUGUCCGAUGGAAUAUCUGACCCUAGACCAGUCAAUGAAACCUCUAAAUCACAAAAAGCAUUAUUUGAAAACACACACAUUGUGGACUCAGAGUCAUCUCUAGAUCUUGUAUCCAAAACCAACAGUAGAUCAAAGUGGAAAGUCCAGGAACCAUCAGAUGUCUUCAGUGUUUCAGCCAAGACAUCAGUCCAAGCAGACCAGGGCAGACUAACACAGAGAUUACCUCAAGGUAAAGGAAAAACAAAAACUCUGCAGGUCCAACUAACCCAGCCAGUUCUAGCCAAUGCUGAUACUUCUACACCAACCAAACAUUCACCUGAGACCAUCAAUAAAAUUAGACAAGAGAUGGGUCCACCUUUACCUCCCCUGCUCCCACCUCUGAUAGCUACUCCUCCAAGAACUGUGCGUCCUGUUUCUCCGAUAAUGGCUUCAUCUAGCCGGUCCUCUCUGCCAUCUCCUCUUGAUGGUCUUAUUUCCCCUCUAAGAGUAACUCCAGUUCCUCCACUAAUGUCUCCUUUGUCAGAUGCUCCAAAGUACAAAUCUCCUCCUAUAUUUUCCACUCCAUCUCCCUCAGAGACAACAGUUGGUCGAAGAAUCCUGUCCUCACCUUUGCAAUUUUGUGCUGCCACACCAAAGCAUGCACUUCCUGUGCCAGGAAGACUUCCUCCAUCUGCAGCUGGUAGUUCUGCUUUAAAUGUUCCUCAGGAGAACUCUGUGAAAAUCUUGGACGCUAUAUAUCCAGAGCUAUCUCCAAGAGCAAGAACACUCAACAUUCUCAAAGGUAACAUUCAGCCCAACAGGUGUGCUCCUUCAGAAUACAAGAAUGUACCAGGGCCAGUGAGUCAGUUCAGUGGGUUCAAAGCAAUUUCUUCUACAUCCACUGCUUUUGUUAAAACAGGAAGUAAUUCAGAAUCUCACAGUAAUAAAGAUCAAAAAGAUUCAGGGAGUCAGAGUCAUGUUGGAAAAAGGAUAUUGUCAGCCUCUAUGCCGAGAAGUGCAAAGAGGCUGAGGCUAGACAGUGAAUUGCCACAAUUGGAGACUAAGGAAGAUGUUGCAAUCAAAGCUGUAGGAGACUUUAAUAUUGAAGUGCUGAGUGCUGCAGGUAAAACUGUCUCACUCAACAAUUGUGAAAUUAGGCAAUUAGCAGCCAGCUGCAAUUCAGAAUUGCCUUCACCAGUAGAGAAUAUUAUUGAUCCUGUGACUUUGGCACUGAAGAAAAUUGCUGAAUCCUGUUUUGACCUGUUACCUGUUAUUCGGAGUCAUGUGUACGUGGGAAAUAUUUUGAAGGUCCCGGUAAUGAGAGAUGAAGAGAAAGAAGUUGUCUAUGAAUUUGGUAUCACAAACAAGCAUUUAGCAGAGCCACUGCUUCAUGCUGUUCUCAAUAAACUGAAGACUCAGAAGAUGUCUUUGAAUCACAAUUUCACUCAGGCUCUAUGUAGAGUAUACAUAGGAAUCUGUCGACAGUUGGGAGAUUUGGAAAGAGCCCGCCUCUUCUGCUACAGCUUACUUAAGGAAGACUUCCCAGAAUCUGCCAAAUUAACUUUGUUUAUCACAAAUGUGUGGGAUGAUAUAUUCUCCUUCCAAGGCGUGCUCAACAAAGCUAUGCAGUUAGUUGUCAGGAAACGUGCACGAGGAGAGGUGCUGAACUGUCUGCGUGCUUAUCUCAGUUGGGAAAAGUUCCAUCUCUGUGUGGGGGGCAUCAUAUUCCAAAAGUGGAAAUACACAAAGGCAACUUUGGAAGAAGAGGUCCUGAGUCUACCUUUGGAUCCAGGCAUUAUGGUCUCAAGUCUGCUUUUAGCAAUACAGUUGUGUCCAAAAAUGGAAUUCCAGUUGAGUGAGCGAUAUGGAGAAGAUCUGAGUGACAGCAUUUGGGAAUGUAUACUUGCUAUUGAUCUUCUCUGCUGUCACCUGAAAUGGAGUUGGACCCAUGACAAUAUCAUAAGUAAAGAGCUUUGGCCUGUCAUGGAUCAGUGGGUAAAGCAUAGGAAAGGACAUGAGACUGUUCCACCUGUUCCAGAUAUUAUUGUAGCAUCAACACUUAGGCUAAUUGGUCCCUGGUUGUCCAAGAGGAUGCAGAACAGGCAAAGCAGCAGCCACAAAAGUCUGCUUCUCCAGACAAAGCAGCUAAGAGACUGGACCUGCUGGGCAGGAAGGUCUGUUCUUCUGUGGGGUUGCAAUUCUGCAUCACCAACUAACAGGUUGUGCUAGCCAAAUAUGACUUGAACAACUGCAACAGGCUAGCAGAGUUGAAGGACAAGCUGCCACCGGAGUAUCAGCAGCAAUUCCAGGUGUUCCUAGAUGAAUGGGGACUGGUUGCCAAGGUGGGCCUUCAGGUAGCAGUGGAUGCGGCUGACAUAUCCUUCUGCUCUCUUGCAACCAGAGUCAUUACGCAAAGAGAUUUGUGGCUACAGUCAUCAGGCUCCCCAGGGAAAAUCUCCUAUUUGGAGAGAACAAUAUGUCCCAUAAUAAUAUGGACGAAGACCUCCACUUGCUGAAGGAUUCCAGAGUCACACUACGGUCACUUGGUGUAUAUAUCUUGGCCCCAGUAUGCAGGCAGCAGAAACAACCAUACUGCCCAUGUCCACAUAUGCCCUACCCAGCCUUAUACCAGCUUCAGCAGAAGCCCCCACAUCAGUGACACCAAUCACAGUGGGCUUGCUUCCCCACCUUUGCCACAGCCGCCUUCUCAGCCCGCUCCCAGCAACAGCAGACCAAAUCAGUAUUCACCUGCAGGUCGAGACCUGCCAGUCUCCAUCAGUGCCACCUGUGGCACCCCAUAUCAUCUUUGGGGACCAUCUUGCCCUUUUUGCCCACAAUUGGACAAGAUCACCACGGAUCCAGUUGGGUACUGGAGAUCAUCUACCAUGGAUACUCCAUCGAGUUCUUCUCACUCCCGCUGCACUGCCUCUUCCCCUGACCAGACUCCCCUGACCAGACUCCCCUGUGGACUCAUCCUAUCAACUGAUCCUCUAACAAGAAGCAGACAACCUGCUCUUUAAGAGGUGGGGGUCAAGAGAGUCUGUCCUGUCUCGUUACCAGGAGCGAGGCUUCCACUCACCUUACUUCCUCAUCCUGAAGAGGGGCAGAGGGCACUGCCCUAUUUUCAAUCUUCAGGUGUCGAACAUGUUUAUACAAAAGUCCAAAUUCCGUAUGGUCACGCUGGCAUCUAUUAUCACCUCACUACCCCAGAAAGCCUGAUUCACAGCUCUGGACAUGAAAGACACUUACAUCCACAUCAACAUUCACCCAGCCCAUCAUAAGUUCCUUCAUUUUCAGGUAGAGCUCCAACACUAUCAAUUUCAGGGCCUCUGAUUCAGCAUAGCGACAGCACCAUGAGUAUUCACAUAAGUCUUCGGCCCAGAUGCUCCACCUCAGCUACGUGGUAUUCCUUUACCUCGAUGACUGGCUUCUAGUGGCACUAUGAUGACAGGAAGCAAUCUCUGUGAUCCUCUAAGUAUCUCUGUCAAUGAGGAAAAAUCAGUGUUGAUGCCUACAAAGACUAUAUACUUCAUUAAGGUGCAACUCGACUCCAUCAUAGCGUGGGCUUUUCUCCCAACAGAUCGCUUUGCAGCACUGACAAUUCUCACCAUGGAUGUGUGUGUCAGACCACUCGCCACGGUCUGCAGUUCUCUCUCAGUGUUUGGACAUAUGGUAGCCUGCACCUACGUGACACUGCACACACAUCUUCAUUUGUGUUUUCUUCAAGUUUGGCUCCUCUCCAUCCACAGACCCAGCAGAGACCAUAGAGACUCCGAGGUCAUUGUACCCAGGAAUGUGCUGUCCUUCCUCACGUGGUGGUGGUCUGAUUCCUCCAAAAUCAUGAUUGGCACUGCCUUCGCCCCUCCCACACCACAGGCCACAAUCACAACAGAUGCCUCUCUUGUGGGCUGGGGGAGGGGAGCCCACUUACGCCACCACAGAGCUCAGGGAGUGUGGAUACCACAGGAAGCCAGGAUGCAUGUAAAUGUGCUAAAACUGCAGGCAGUCCAUUUGGCAUGCCAGGUUUUCCUCCUCCUCAUUCAGUCCUUCCACAUUCAACUGCUCUCCUGCAACAUUGUUGCAGUAGUAUACAUCAACAAGCAGGAUGGUGCCAGGUCUUCCUCCCUCUCCUCUGAGUCAGUCCGGCUCUGGAACUGGUGCAUCAAGAACCGUGUGGUGCUUUAAACUGCCUGUCUAUUGGCAUCCAAAAUUCCCUGGCCGACACUCAGCAGGACUCCCUGCCUCAAUCACAACUGGGAGCUCUGACAACACGCUCCUCUACCUCAACACGCUCCUCUUUGUGAAGUGGGGCACACACCUUCCCCUCCUCCCCCGCUACUGAUGGGACCAUUGCUACUCACAAGAACAGAAAGCUUGCCCCUCUAUUGCUUGAGAGGAGCACUGGGAGGGCUUUCCUCCUUCCCUGGACAGGCAACCUUCACUAUGCCUUUCUCCCAUUCCCUUCCUGCUGCAGGUGCUAUGCAAGAUUCAUUGAAACAGAGCCACCAUCAUACUCAUAGCCUCCUUCUGGCCCCAUCAGUUCUGGUUCACGGACCUCCUCAGAUUCUCCGCCCACACACGACUCCACCUGCACAUGUUCCUGAAUCUGCUAACACAGGAUUGGGGGAGGCUCCAUCAUCCCAAUCCAGGCCCUCUUCACCUCACAGCCUGGUAUUUGAAUGGGAGUCAAAGGUCGCUUAGGCCAAAUAGGUUUGAAGGAAGGAUUUUCUUCUGCUGUGAAAAACAUCAGUUCUAUUAUUGGAC